rnacentral:rRNA from 1 species
GGGUGAGUAACACGUGGGUAACCUACCUAUAAGACUGGAAUAACUCCGGGAAACCGGGGCUAAUGCCGGAUAACAUUUAGAACCGCAUGGUUCUAAAGUGAAAGAUGGUUUUGCUAUCACUUAUAGAUGGACCCGCGCCGUAUUAGCUAGUUGGUAAGGUAACGGCUUACCAAGGCAACGAUACGUAGCCGACCUGAGAGGGUGAUCGGCCACACUGGAACUGAGACACGGUCCAGACUCCUACGGGAGGCAGCAGUAGGGAAUCUUCCGCAAUGGGCGAAAGCCUGACGGAGCAACGCCGCGUGAGUGAUGAAGGUCUUCGGAUCGUAAAACUCUGUUAUUAGGGAAGAACAAAUGUGUAAGUAACUGUGCACGUCUUGACGGUACCUAAUCAGAAAGCCACGGCUAACUACGUGCCAGCAGCCGCGGUAAUACGUAGGUGGCAAGCGUUAUCCGGAAUUAUUGGGCGUAAAGCGCGCGUAGGCGGUUUCUUAAGUCUGAUGUGAAAGCCCACGGCUCAACCGUGGAGGGUCAUUGGAAACUGGGAAACUUGAGUGCAGAAGAGGAAAGUGGAAUUCCAUGUGUAGCGGUGAAAUGCGCAGAGAUAUGGAGGAACACCAGUGGCGAAGGCGACUUUCUGGUCUGUAACUGACGCUGAUGUGCGAAAGCGUGGGGAUCAAACAGGAUUAGAUACCCUGGUAGUCCACGCCGUAAACGAUGAGUGCUAAGUGUUAGGGGGUUU